rnacentral:rRNA from 1 species
UACGUAGGGCGCGAGCGUUGUCCGGAAUCAUUGGGCGUAAAGCGCGCGUAGGUGGCUUCGUAAGUCCGCUGUGAAAGUCCAGGGCUCAACCCUGGGAUGCCGGUGGAUACUGUCGGGCUCGAGUCCGGAAGAGGAGUGUGGAAUUCCUGGUGUAGCGGUGAAAUGCGCAGAUAUCAGGAGGAACACCAAUGGCGAAGGCAGCACUCUGGGACGUGACUGACGGCUGAGACGCGAAAGCGUGGGGAGCAAACAGG